GAUGAACGCUAGCGGCAGGCUUAACACAUGCAAGUCGAGGGGCAGCAUAAAUAGUAGCAAUACUAUUGGUGGCGACCGGCGGACGGGUGCGUAACGCGUAUACAACCUUCCCUAAACAGGGGGAUAAUCUGGAGAAAUUCGGUCUAAUACCCCAUAACAUCAGAGCAGGCAUCUGUUUUGGGUAAAAUUUCCGGAGGUUUAGGAUGGGUAUGCGUAGCAUUAGCUAGUUGGUGAGGUAACGGCUCACCAAGGCGACGAUGCUUAGGGGGACUGAGAGGUUACCCCCCCACACUGGUUCAGAGACACGGACCAGACUCCUACGGGAGGCAGCAGUGAGGAAUAUUGGUCAAUGGGCGGAAGCCUGAACCAGCCAUGCCGCGUGCGGGAUGACGGCUCUAUGAGUUGUAAACUGCUUUUGUACGAGGGUAAAGUGGGCUACGUGUAGCCUUUUGAAAGUAUCGUACGAAUAAGGAUCGGCUAACUCCGUGCCAGCCGCCGCCGUAA
rnacentral:rRNA from 1 species